AGCCGCCAGGGGGGCCACGCCCAGCUCGCCUACGGCCGCUACCACGUCCUCACCAAGUCCAUCCUCAACGCCGGCAUGAACCAGAUCGUCUUCUGCAUCCACCGUGAUCUCGUCGCGCCCGCCAUCCUCGCCCCCGUCACCUUCUUCCGAGAGAGCAACAAAAAGUGAAAGCGACCCCUCUCCCUCUGAAUUAGAAGAAUCUACAUCGAAUUUGGCUGAUUCUCACUGGAUAUUCGGUGGGGAUUUGGGGAUUUUCACAGGCGGUAUCAUGCGAGGCUGAUAGUCAUGCUAUUCUGCCCAAUCUACUGGCUCUAAUGAAGCAAUCGCAAAACCAUCCACAAGAUUUAUUCUAGAAAACACUGACCUCUCCACGGAUAAGGCAAAUACAGUUGUCAGGUUCUUCAGGGAUCCAUGGUACUACUUGAGCCUAAAAAUCAACUAAUUCUUCUGUUCCCCAUACGUAGCAUAUUUAGUUUGGUUUCUUUACUCUUAAGUAUGGCUACCGCGUCAAGCUUUCCUGUCAGAGAACUGUAUACCUAAUAUUCUUCAAUGACUUAGACUCAUGAUGAUAUAUCAUGUAGUGUUGUGCAAUUCUUUGUCCACUUUUACUUUGGUGGCAUGUUAUUUAGCUCUCCUCUCUAAAUUUCUUUACUCUAGGCGCCGCUUCUUUUACUGAACAAAUGUGCAUGCUUAGCCCAGGCGCCACUUCUUUUACUGAACAAAUGUGCAUGCUUUGCGUAGGGUGGUCUACAUGAUACAUUUCAUUUAUAUUAUGUUUUUGAUAGCUCGUCAAAUGAAAAAGAAACAUAUAUUUUUCAUCCAGAAUUCCAUAUUGGUGGUUCCAGAAGUAUUUAAGCUCUAUAUACUGGAAGCAGAUAGUAUAUGCCAUGAUGAAAAUACCAAGUGGCCAAAUGUUUUGCUCUCACAUAGAUCGCUUUACUCUGCUUUGCUCUAUGGAUAACCAGAGCAAUAUCCUUCUUUAGCUGUCUGUCUCUUCUAGCUCUGGAUACUUGGAUUCUCAUCUUUGAAAAUUCUUGUAUUUCUUUCAUUCGAAAUACCCCACCCCAUCAACCCGAGUAAUAACUUCUAGAGCUAUUUUCUGUAGCGUGUGAAGACAGUGUUUAUUUCAGCAAAGAACGAUAUUCUCUCUGUUUUCCUGGAAAAAUAAAGACAAAUAUUCUUGUGCAAAGCAACAGUUCCAGAAGAGAUGCAUCUGGGGCUUCAGUACACGUUCGUUAGAGAUGGCACAUCAGAUGGAAGUUUUUUCCUCUAUUAACAUAUUUCUUGCAACCAAUGGGCUCCAUGAGUGGGCACUGACAGGACAGGGAUGAUAGCCAUUCUAUAUGCUAUGAGUAUCUAUGUGAUGUUUAUGUACCAUUAGGACUAGAUCAGAUAUACAGGACUUGAAUGGCCAUGUUAAACCACUCUUAUCAUCUUGUAACCGAAUUUCUUGCUAGCUCCACCAGGAAAUUGUUGCGUAUUGUCUGAACUACGCAAUCAUGACUUGGGCAAACAAAGUCCUUGGGCCUUCUUUGGUUGCCCUCUACAACCAGCGUGUUUGGCGAUCCUUUCAACUAUUUUCCUUGGUACCCCGGUUUGUCUCGGAACGUUUGGACAACAGCUCUACCCUAUGUGUUGUUUGAACAUUGUGAUAUGAUGUCUCGAGCUUUUGGUCAUCCAAAUUGGUCAAAUUGCUUCUGAUUGUAUCACCCCGUAAUAUUUCUGACGAAAUGAUCAUGCCAUUGUAGUAGUGGUGAUUGAUGGAAACUUAUGUUGUUUUCCGUAGAUACGGUGGUUAAUAUUUGAUGUUGUUUGAUUACUUUACCUCACUUGUAAGCUAUAUAAUUUGCACAAAACUAUGCAGAACUAAACACCCUUCUCUAUUCCUUGCAGCGACAGUGGAGGCAUCUUCAUCAUUGCUGGCAUAUACCUUGUUACCUGGAUUCGUUACAAGGAAGCACAAUGAAUACUAAUUGGUAGUAGUUAUCUGAGUCCCCUUCUAUUGGAGGCGGAUGAUGCACCAACUUGCAAGCCAGGGGAAGGUUCCUUCAAUGAUGCACAUCAACCUUGCCUAGGUUUGGUGUCGCAAGCUGUAUUUUCUAAUACUACUUCCAGUUUAGGAUGAUACAUCUGUGAAAAUUGGAAGUUGAAUUUGAGAUUAUCAUCGUUUCAAUUAUCAGGUAUACAGAGGAGAUAUGGAAGGACCUAGAACAAGGAAGUCUUUAUGAAGGGAACACACACACAUAAAAGCUACGGAGCUGAUUUCGAUUACUCCUCUAUUUAACAUUUUCCUGGGAUAUUGCCAUGCCAGAUGCUGGGUUUUAUAAAUAAUACCGCUAUGGCGCUAUAAACCUUUGUGGGUCUUAUUAGACGAGGUAUGCUUCUACUUAUUCACCAUAUAGGCCCAUCAUCGCAUUACUUCUUACUCCUUUCACGAAUGCUAUUUAAUUUGCUAUAUCUAGAUCCAAGUAGCUUCAAUUUAUAGAACUCCUAGCAUGGUGUUUCUUCAAUGUAAUAUUUAGUGAUUUCCUCUUAGCUCUUGGUCAGGUGCAGAGUAUGUCUGGGUGUUUAUUUUCAUGAGAUACGGUUCAAUUGCCCUCUUCUGCAUAAUUCCACUUCAUGGUACCUCAUUCUAUACUAUAUAUUUCAGAUGUCACCGGCAACAAGAUACCGAUAUUUGAGAAAGGUUUGACGUUUAUCCUGCUAGGAUCCUGGGAUUGAUAGAUGCGUGUGUAUGUUGCUCUGUGCCCAAUCUUUCAUCUCAUGUAUCUGCCCCGAUCUUCCAUCAUAGUGGUCACAUAGGUAGGUAAUGUCCAAUCUAUGUACAUGCCCCUCUCCCAGAUUGAUUCUGCGGACAAAGUGACUAGCGUCAGUAUGGCUACAUGCCACUAUGGCUGUUGUGUUAUUCAUCUAUCUACAUACACUGGCUACUUGCAUCCUCCAGCAAGCACAAGAUUUUGAUCUAGAGAGCCAGACAAGUCCCACCAAAGCUAUCACAAGCAAGCACGUGAAGUGAUGAACCAGAUAAUCUACUUGAAAGAAAACAGCUGGCUGGACACCAUUGACGAUAAGCAUCAGUAGCAACAACAGCUCCGGUACUGCCUGCGUCAGGUCUUCUCGGUUGAUAUACACCAGCUCAAGUAGUCCCAGCGCAUUGACGAUAAUUGGUAGCAGCAACAGCUCCGGUACUGCCUGCGCCAGGUCUUUUCUGUUGAUAUAGACGAGCUCAAGUAGUCCCAGCAAAGCAGGAUUAUCACUGAUAGAAUCAGCCGCAAGAUUGUCACAAGGCCACCAUCUUCGUGUUGUAUGAACUCAUUGUUCAGUUUGGCUUUGUACUGCGAAGCACAUACAAAAAAAAGAAGCUCCGGUUGUUAAUUGUGUUGCUAA